rnacentral:misc_RNA from 1 species
GAUGAAGAACGUAGCGAAAUGCGAUAAGUAAUGUGAAUUGCAGAAUUCAGUGAAUCAUCGAAUCUUUGAAUGCACAUUGCGCCCGCCAGUAUUCUGGCGGGCAUGCCUGUUCGAGCGUCAUUUCAACCAUCAAGCCCCCGGCUUGUGUUGGGGACCUGCGGCUGCCGCAGGCCCUGAAAACCAGUGGCGGGCUCGCUGUCACACCGAGCGUAGUAGAUUUUCAUCUCGCUCAGGGCGUGCUGCGGGUUCCGGCCGUAAAAAGCCUUAUUUACCCAAGGUUGACCUCGGAUCAGGUAGGAAGACCCGCUGAACUUAAGCAUAUCAAUAAGCGGAGG